GAUGAAGAACGCAGCGAAAUGCGAUAAGUAAUGUGAAUUGCAGAAUUCAGUGAAUCAUCGAAUCUUUGAACGCACAUUGCGCCCGCCAGUAUUCUGGCGGGCAUGCCUGUUCGAGCGUCAUUUCAACCAUCAAGCCCCCGGCUUGUGUUGGGGACCUGCGGCUGCCGCAGGCCCUGAAAAGCAGUGGCGGGCUCGCUGUCACACCGAGCGUAGUAGCAUACAUCUCGCUCUGGGCGUGCUGCGGGUUCCGGCCGUUAAACCACCUUCAUAACCCAAGGUUGACCUCGGAUCAGGUAGGAAGACCCGCUGAACUUAAGCAUGUCAAUAAGCGGAGGA
rnacentral:misc_RNA from 1 species